rnacentral:rRNA from 1 species
UACGGAAGGCAGCAGUGGGGAAUAUUGCACAAUGGGCGAAAGCCUGAUGCAGCUAUGCCGCGUGUAUGAAGAAGGCCUUAGGGUUGUAAAGUACUUUCAUCGGGGAGGAAAAACAAAACUAAUAAUUUUAUUUCUUGACGUUACCCGAAAAAGAAGCACCGGCUAACUCCGUGCCAGCAGCCGCGGUAAUACGGAGGGUGCUAGCGUUAAUCAGAAUUACUGGGCGUAAAGAGCACGUAGGUGGUUUUUUUAAGUCAGAUGUGAAAUCCCUGGGCUUAACCUAGGAACUGCAUUUUGAAACUGAAAUACUAGAGUAUCGUAGAGGGAGGUAGAAUUCUAGGUGUAGUGGUGAAAUGCGUAGAUAUCUGGAGGAAUACCUGUGGCGAAAGCGGCCUCCUAAACGAAUACUGACACUGAGGUGCGAAAGCGUGGGGAGCAAACAGGGAUUAGAUACC